rnacentral:rRNA from 1 species
AGAGUUUGAUCCUGGCUCACGAUGAACGCUGGCGGCGUGCCUAACACAUGCAAGUCGAACGGACUUACAUUGAAGCCUAGCGAUGUGUAAGUUAGUGGCGGACGGGUGAGUAACGCGUGGGUAACCUGCCUUGUACUGGGGGACAACAGUUGGAAACGACUGCUAAUACCGCAUAAGCGCACAGCUUCGCAUGAAGCAGUGUGAAAAACUCCGGUGGUGCAAGAUGGACCCGCGUCUGAUUAGCUGGUUGGUGAGGUAACGGCCCACCAAGGCGACGAUCAGUAGCCGGCCUGAGAGGGUGAACGGCCACAUUGGGACUGAGACACGGCCCAAACUCCUACGGGAGGCAGCAGUGGGGAAUAUUGCACAAUGGGGGAAACCCUGAUGCAGCAACGCCGCGUGAGUGAAGAAGUAUUUCGGUAUGUAAAGCUCUAUCAGCAGGAAAGAAAAUGACGGUACCUGACUAAGAAGCCCCGGCUAACUACGUGCCAGCAGCCGCGGUAAUACGUAGGGGGCAAGCGUUAUCCGGAUUUACUGGGUGUAAAGGGAGCGUAGACGGUUUUGCAAGUCUGAAGUGAAAGCCCGGGGCUUAACCCCGGGACUGCUUUGGAAACUGUAGGACUAGAGUGCAGGAGAGGUAAGUGGAAUUCCUAGUGUAGCGGUGAAAUGCGUAGAUAUUAGGAGGAACACCAGUGGCGAAGGCGGCUUACUGGACUGUAACUGACGUUGAGGCUCGAAAGCGUGGGGAGCAACAGGAUUAGAUACCCUGGUAGUCCACGCCGUAAACGAUGAUUACUAGGUGUUGGUGGGUACGACCCAUCGGUGCCGCAGCAAACGCAAUAAGUAAUCCACCUGGGGAGUACGUUCGCAAGAAUGAAACUCAAAGNAAUUNACNNNNACCCNCACAUNCNNUNNANCAUGGGGGGGGAUUUUAAGGGGGGGGGGGAACGGGGGGUGGUUUUUACAUCCGGGGGGGGGGGGGCCAAUGCCGUUAGUACUUCGGUACAUAGGAGACAGGUGGUGCAUGGUUGUCGUCAGCUCGUUUCGUGAGAUGUUGGGUUAAGUCCCGCGAGGAGGNCAACCCUUAUCUUUAGUAGCCAGCAGUAAGAUGGGCACUCUAGAGAGACUGCCGGGGAUAACCCGGAGGAAGGUGGGGAUGACGUCAAAUCAUCAUGCCCCUUAUGACCAGGGCUACACACGUGCUACAAUGGCGUAAACAAAGAGAAGCGGAGUCGUGAGGCAGAGCGAAUCUCAAAAAUAACGUCUCAGUUCGGAUUGUAGUCUGCAACUCGACUGCAUGAAGCUGGAGUCGGGAGUGUCGCGGAUCCCAAUNCUGCGGUGAAUACGUUCCCNGGGUCAUGUACACAGCGCCCGUC